AUUGCAGAUGAAAACCCAGGCGACCACUCACCAAAGUGAAGUCCCAGUGCGGGCCAGGGGUUAGAAAUGUGAAGGAGCUGCCUCUCCGAAGGGAGCAUCUAUGGACAGAAGAGUCAGAUAAAGAGAAUUACUUCAAAAUAGUAAGAGAAUUGACAGAUAAAAGCCAUAAUUCUUACAGUCUUAGUCUCAAAACUAGUUAAAAUAGUGACCCGAUGUCAGCACCUAGAGAGAGCAAGGUCUUUCCUGGUAAUACCAAAAUAUAACAGGGUACAUGCCAUCCCCGAAUCUUUAUACUGAAGAGAGACUAUAUAUAUAAAAUUAGUGAAGAGAUCACUAUUAAAAAACAGUUCAUCUUAUGAGUAUAUACAUAACUCAACAAUAUAAAAUCUAUUAAUAUAUAUAGUAGCCUUGAUAAUUAUUAAUAAUAAAAAACUAAUGAACUUGGUAUAACUCAAAACUUACAGCUAAUAUUUAAAAUAAGUAAAAAAAGACAUUAAUUCAAUAAAACCCAGAUUCUGUUAUUUACAUUAAUGUAAAUCAGUUAAAAAUCAGUUCGUCUGAUUUUUAAAAACUGGAGUUAACCCAACCUCUGUGUUAACCUUUCUAAAAUAUAGGCCUGUAUAUUUACAAAAAUAUAAAUGUCUGCAUUUACAAAAUAUGUAAAAAAAAAAUCGAAACGGCAUAGGUUAUAACCAUGCGCUCUACGGUUAACCCUUUAGGCGUACAGAAUGUGGAACGGUUUUUUCCCAACGUGGAUAAACGACAGCCAAAGGAAAGCAGAAACCGAGGGAGCGCGCUGAGGCUGGGAGGUAGUUACCAGCACUGGCCUGUUGGCAGGUUCAGCCGGUAAAUGGAGGAGGGGCUGUAUAAUGGGACGGAAGUGAAGAGGCGCCAGUAUAACCGGGUGGAGCUGUCGGAAGCUAAUGGGUCCAUGACAGUCUGGAUAUGAGAGCCUGCAUGGAGAGAACAGCUCUGGUGCAGAAGUAUGGCUCCCCAGGGAGUGGGUUAAAGAAGACUGUCAACAAGUCCAUCGAGUCCGCCCCUUCAAGGCAGGACCGAGCAGUGGCUGUUUGGGGCCUCGGCUCAAGGCUAGCCCUCGGUGCAUCCCGCCGGGCUAGCGCACUCUCCUCCCGCGGCAUUUCUGUCCAGGCAUCCCCAGCCUCCCCUGCCCCAUUGCCAGUCCUUGCUCACCUCCCGGUUCUCCCGUCCAUCCCGGUCCUGAGUCUCCAGACUCCGUCCCCCGCUCUCCCCCACCCACCUCUGGCCACCCUCACCUCUCGUUCGCCGCCGGCCCGGGUGUGUCGGCCGGAAGCCCCGCGGCUUGGUCCUCGCUGAGCACUGAGGCCCUGCGGCUUCUCCUCCGCGGCCGGGGUUGCUUAGGAGCCGCCGGCUCUGGCUCCAUGUCCGGAGAGGGGGGUGGGUGGGGCGGUGGCCCAGUGCCCAGCAGACCGAUCGUGGCGGGCACGGUGCCCGCCAGCUUCUGCGAAGCAGCAAGUUGCCUUCUAGCAGAGAGCGGCUGCGGCCAUCAUCCGGGGAUUUGAAAAUGGCGGCUGCCCAGAGAUCGACCAAUCAGAGAACGGGAAGCGGUUGCUAGGCUACGUGGAGUUCCGCCCCAGUCGGAAGACCUCACACCACACUUUAAGGUGUCUGAAGGACAAACGCAAAGUAGUAGGGUAAAAGUUAGGUGUUUGGGGAUUUAUUCUAACUACACCCCUUAUUCUUCCAAAGGCGGUCUCUCUUCACUAUAACUUUCACGGCAGGCCAGGAAAAUGGAUUGGAAGCUGUUUACCAUUUGAUGUUGUUUAGCAUUAGAUGGGCUGAAGGUAUUGACCCCAAAGUAAGGCGCAGUUGGGCAUAUAAACACCAAAUUAUUCGUGUGGGAUAUAUGCCCAAUUGCCAAAGACAAUACCUGUGUUCUUCCGGUGUCUCUACAUAACCAGUGAAAUCUAGUUAUGUCCUCCCGUCUUUCUCUGCUUGCAAGACUGCAAAAGGUGCAGCAUGAAACAAGGGACCUUUUCAGGUUUGUAUACGAAGAUUGGCAAAUAAAAACGUUCUUUGAUUUUUAAA